UACGUAGGGUGCAAGCGUUGUCCGGAAUUAUUGGGCGUAAAGAGCUCGUAGGCGGUUAGUCGCGUCUGCUGUGAAAACUCGGGGCUUAACUCCGGGCCUGCAGUGGGUACGGGCUGACUAGAGUGCGGUAGGGGAGACUGGAAUUCCUGGUGUAGCGGUGAAAUGCGCAGAUAUCAGGAGGAACACCGGUGGCGAAGGCGGGUCUCUGGGCCGAUAUGACGCUGAGGAGCGAAAGCGUGGGGAGCGAACAGG
rnacentral:rRNA from 1 species